rnacentral:rRNA from 1 species
UAGAGUAAUGCGUGACCAACCUGCCCCAUGCUCCAGAAUAGCUCUUGGAAACGGGUGGUAAUGCUGGAUGCUCCAACUUGACGCAUGUCUUGUUGGGAAAGUGUUUAGUGGCAUGGGAUGGGGUCGCGUCCUAUCAGCUUGUAGGCGGGUAAUGGCCCACCUAGGCUUCGACGGGUAGCCGGCCUGAGAGGGCGGACGGCCACAUUGGGACUGAGAUACGGCCCAGACUCCUACGGGAGGCAGCAGCG